rnacentral:rRNA from 1 species
AACGAACGCUGGCGGCGUGCUUAACACAUGCAAGUCGAACGGUAAGGCACUUCGGGGUACACGAGUGGCGAACGGGUGAGUAACACGUGGGUGAUCUGCCCUGCACUUCGGGAUAAGCCUGGGAAACUGGGUCUAAUACCGGAUAGGACCACUGCCUGCAUGGGUGGUGGGGGAAAGCUUUUGCGGUGUGGGAUGGGCCCGCGGCCUAUCAGCUUGGUGGUGGGGUGAUGGCCUACCAAGGCGACGACGGGUAGCCGGCCUGAGAGGGUGACCGGCCACACUGGGACUGAGAUACGGCCCAGACUCCUACGGGAGGCAGCAGUGGGGAAUAUUGCACAAUGGGCGCAAGCCUGAUGCAGCGACGCCGCGUGAGGGAUGACGGCCUUCGGGUUGUAAACCUCUUUCAGCACCGACGAAGCGCAAGUGACGGUAGGUGCAGAAGAAGGACCGGCCAACUACGUGCCAGCAGCCGCAGUAA